CCCGCGUCCUUUGGGAGGGCGGGGGGCUGUCUGGGUUGCCCGCUUGUGGGCUCUGGAUGCUCGGGGCCUUGGCCGGAUUCCAAACCUUUAGCUCGUCUUUGAGCAACGUCCCCACGGGUGCUCCACGUUAGGUGUUUGCGUCCCUGUGCCUAGGAUCGCAGGGUUUUGGUAGCAGCGCCUGUUUGGGCCACACCUGUGCUCCCGUCUUGCGCCCUGUGUAGCAGCUGUGUAGCGCUGGGCGGCCCAACCGCCCUUGGCCUGAGCCUCCUAGUGAGUCUUCAAGUGCCUCGGUUCUCGUUUCGUAGCGUUGGUUCCCAUUUUAGCCAGUUCCCAUUUUCCCUCUUUUCUUUUCUUUCCUUUCCUUCUUCCUUUCCUUCCUUCCUUUCUUUCUUUCUAACAAAACAACCCAUUUUUUCCCCUUUCCUUGUCAUUACCCCCCGUAGGUUGAUUCCAAUCAGGGGGUUAUGCCCGGAUUCAAAUGGUGCCUCUCCUGCCAGGAAGCCAUCCCCGUCAGCGACGGGCACCCCCGUUGCCUCCGGUGCAUGGGAGAGGCACACGUGCCCCAAAAGUGCACGCACUGCCUUAAUCUUAAGGCGCGCAGUCAGAAAGCCUGUGACCUGAAGCUAAAACCCCAAAUGAAGGAGAGCCUGUUGCGGCCAGCCUCAGACCCUGGUCCUGGGACCCCCCCUGGACAACGAUCACCAUCAGCACCAGCUGCUCCACACUCCCUGCAGGCUACGAAGAGGAAAUCAACAGAUUACUCACGAAAAGACGCUAAAAAGCGAGCCCCACGUUUGCCCACCCAGGAGCCAAGGAAAAGAAAGAGGUCCCCAGGGAGAUCGGUAGCUUUGGCACCAACAGGUGUAAUACUGAGCACCUAUGAUGCCCCUGGGACCUCCGGUAUGGUCGACGCCGGUAAGUCCAAGGACCCCAAGAGGGCAAGACUGGACAAGACUGCACCGUCCGGCGACAGAGGCCAGGAAAAGCCCAAAGCCUCAAAGACGGAACCGACCAGCCACACGGCACCGGGCACUUUGGCGCCGCCUGCUGGGCAUUCAGCAGAACGCAGAGCAACCCUGGCGCUGGCCAGACCGUCGGCACCAGCACUGACACAACUAACUCCCACGGUACCGAAGACGCCACCGGAGUUUAGAUUCCCAAAAGACGGAUUUGUCUCCGAGACGCCAGAGUCUCCACCGCUCCGUGCCGGGAUGGCUGCGGUACACACCAAACCCACCCGUUCACCGUCACCAUCCAGGACUGGCCCCCCCUUCUCCAGUGGAGACGAGGAGGAAAAUGAUGCUUAUUCUGUGCCUUCACGUAACUGCCCUUCGCGUCGGGGCGCUGCACAACUUGACUCUUCUGCCCGCCGUAGAUACCAGGAGCCCAGAGGUGACCCAACACCCUGGUAUGGACACCCGUGGGUGCCCCCCUUUAUGCCUGUGCCCCCACAAUGGCCUUGCUGGGAUCCAUGGGCUGCUUAUAGGCAACGGUUUUCCAGGCCACCCGAUACCCAGAGGGAGAAACCGAGGCACUCCCCGUCAUCUUCAGUAUCCAGCCCUCCCGAGCCUGAUGGGGAAUCUGUCAAGGAGAAGGAGGAAAGGCUGAAGCAGGAAGCUACGUCUGCACCCAAUAUACCGUCGUCCUCGGCGGCCAAAGCAGUCAUGCGUCCCCCGCCGUUGUCGGCCGAUGAUGAUUUCCGACAGCGUCAGGAGCUGUUCAGACGGAUAGCGGAUUCUCUCCACAUCCCGUUAGAGGAACCAAGAGAGUCGCAGUGCUUGUUUCUGGAUAUACUGCCCACAUCCACCAAGAUCGGGCUGCCUAUAGUUAAGACCCUCUUAGAUGCAGCGAAAGCGGUCUGGCAAACUCCAGCCACAAUCCCUCCCACCUGUAAGAGGGCUGAGAAGAAGUAUUUUGUCCCCUCAAAGGACAUGGAGUUCUUAUCUUCGCUGCCCACACCGAAUUCAAUGGUGGUCUUGGCGGUGAAUGAAAGGGAGAGGCUACGUCUGAACAACUCGUAUGACAAAGAUUGGAAGAAACUAGAUUUGCUGGGCCGUAAAGCACACUCUUCGGCAGCUCUCCAAUUCCGAAUUGCCAAUUACGAGGCGUUCAUGUCAAGGUAUAACCACACAAACUAUUCAAAACUGAACGAAUUUAUUCAAUAUAUCCCAGAGGAUAAAAGAAAACAAUUCCAGGCAGUCGUGACGGAGGGCCAGCUGCUGGCCAGGACGGCAUUGCAAGCGUCCCUAGAUGCGGCAGACGCGGCUGCCCGCUCCAUAGCAACAGCGGCGGUUAUGAGGCGAGUAUCGUGGCUACGUCUUUCGGGACUCCCAAAGUAUAUACAAGCUACAGUGGAGGAUUUUCCCUUUGAAGGCUCCAACUUAUUCGCCGACAAGACUGAUGACUAUUUCCGCUCCAUCCGGGAUGCAAGAGAGAUGCUGAGAGCUUUGCGUGUCUCCACACCAGUACCAAGGAGACGGCAGAAUAGAUACCACGCUACCUCGAGAUCUCGAACCUCUGCAUUUCCCCCACCUCAACGAGACUACGACCCGGAAAUGACCGAGACCUCCCAAAUGUAACCGCCCCCAACAUAGGCAUGUGCAUCUCACCAACCCACCUCACAACAGAAAAUUGGGUCGAGGCUCUGAGUUGCCUCACCUGGAUCCAUGUGCUGUGACCACCAGAAAACAUCCAUCCCUUUGGCGACCACCUGACCCCAUUCUACCAGUGUCCCCUUGGACAAGUGGGUGUUAGAAAUGGUCAACAACGGAUACUCAAUGCAAUUUCUUUCCCUCCCUCCAACCCACCCAUCUUCCCCCCCCGCCCCCCGACACCUUCUGCAGGAAGAAAUAAUCCACUCGGGGGCUGUAGAACCAGUUCUGCUCCAACACGGCAGGAGAGGCUUUUAUUCCAACUGUUCCCUCAUCCCAAAAAAGAGCAGCGGGUGGAGACCCAGUCUAGACUUCGGAACAUUCAACAAGUUCGUUCAACAACAACGAUUCAGGAUGGUCACGUUAGCAAAAAUAAUCCCAACACUGGACCAGGGGAUUGAUCUCGGCCCUCGACCUCCAAGAUGCACCUUUGCACGUUACCAUACACCGUCUCCCAGAGAUUCCUCAGAUUUGUGCUGGGCUUGGAUCCCGGCCAGUACAAAGUACUUCCCUUGGGCCUCUGGCACCCUGGGUGUUCUCCAAGCUCCUUGCAGUGUGGUGCACCUCUGCCAACAGGCAAUCAUGAUGUUCCCAAUUGCCUUCUCAGAGCCCCCUCUUGAGACAACACAGUCCUGGCUACACACAGACCUAGGGACCUUUCCUCACAACUAGGCCUUCAAAUCAACACUGACCCCUGUACUGCAUCCAGAGUUCAUUGGGCCCUACCCUGCUGCAGUGGAGGCCAGAGCCUUCUGACCACCACACAGACUUGCUGCCCUAGCCAAUUUGAUCUCCACGGUACCAAACCAGUCUGCAGGGAUCAGCCAGACAUGUAGAUGACUACCAGGGCAUAUGGCAGUGUCUCUCUCCAAGCCAAUCUUACCCGCGUGAAUGGCACCCGGUCUGGAAUCUUGUCGACACCUAUAACCUCUCCCUUGUCACUGGUACUGGACUGCAUCUGGGAUCUAAAAGGGCCAGGGCUGUUCUCAAGUUCAAUCUGAAAGCAUCUUGCAGCCAUCCCGGCCUUCCACCGCAAGGUCGCCGGACACUCCAUGUUCACCCACCCUGGAACAAGACGGUUUCUCAGAGGAAUUUGAAAUCUCUACCUUGAAGUACGAGAUCCCACUGCACCUUAGGUCCUUAACCUAGUCAUGCGAUGCCUGACUGCACACUCCUUGGAGCCCACGAUGACCUACCUGCUCGUUCAUAGGCUGUCUUCAUUGACAGAUGUUUCUUGUUACCCCCUCCCAAUAUAAUCUUCUUCAAAGAUAGUUUCGUUCAGACCUUAUCCAAAGUUACUUCCUAAAAUACCUUCCUCACUGCCCCUGAAUCGGCCUGUUUGCCAACCAUUGUUGUCCCUGAGCCACAUAGAACUACCCGUUCCACACGCUAGACGGCCACUUGCCUCUGAAACUCGAAAGGACUAACCCUUUCAGAAAGUCACCACGAUUACUCCUUUCUAUUGAAGAAAGAUCAGAGCUCAGCCAUAUCUAAACAAAGACUUUCAAAGCAGGUUUCCAACUGCGUUCACCUUUGCAAUCGUCACUGCGGUUUGCCCCCGAAGGCACUCCACACGAUCUAUUGCCACGUCUCUAGCUUUCCCGACCUAUGCACCAAUCACGGACAUUGGUAAAGCAGUGACUUGGGCGUCGGCACACACGUUCCCAGAGCACGACACCAUAGUGCAAGUCUCGACAGCAGGUGCUCGCUAGGACUGUCCGUGUGAUCGUCGCUAACAAAUCCAACUCUGCAGCCCUAGCCUUCCAGCGGGGGGCAGCGUUCUCCUGUCACCUAAAGUGGAGCACCCCCAGGGACACCACUCACCCUGGGCGGUAACUGAGGUUCUUCGAGACGGGGUGUCCCUGGGGGUGCUCCACUGUUUGCCCUCCUCCUUCUGCUUCGGAGUUCAGCCCUGGGCUCUGCGGUAGAGAAGGGACCGAGGGCGGUUGAGACGGGGGAGCGCGUGCGUGGCCCAAACGGGCGCUGCUAUGGAAAAUCUCCGAUCCUAGGCGCAGGGACGCGGCACCCGUAGGGACACACAUCUCGGAGAACCCCGGUUACUGCACAGGAAGAGGAAAACUCCCCCCAAGAAGGAGCGGAAGGGGUCGGCCAGCAGCUCCCGGGGGAACAGCCGUCCAGGGACGCCCACUGUGGACGCA